rnacentral:rRNA from 1 species
UACGGAGGGUGCGAGCGUUUGUCCGGAAUCACUGGGGCGUAAAGGGCGCGUAGGCGGCAUGCCAAGCGUGUGGUGAAAGCCCGGGGCUCAACCCCGGGGUCGGCCGUGCGGACUGGCGUGCUCGAGCACUGUAGGGGCGGGUGGAAUUCCGGGUGUAGCGGUGAAAUGCGCAGAUAUCAGGAGGAACACCGAUUGCGAAGGCAGCUCGCUGGGACGUUACUGACGCUGGAGACGCGAAAGCGUGGGGAGCAAACAGG